rnacentral:rRNA from 1 species
CUCUGACAACCCUAGAGAUAGGCUCUCUUCGGGAGCAGAGUGACAGGUGGUGCAUGGUGUCGUCAGCUCGUGUCGUGAGAUGUUGGGUUAAGUCCCGCAAACGAGCGCAACCCUUGAUCUUAGUUGCCAUCAUUAAGUUGGGCACUCUAAGGUGACUGCCGGUGACAAACCGGAGGAAGGUGGGGAUGACGUCAAAUCAUCAUGCCCCUUAUGACCUGGGCUACACACGUGCUACAAUGGACGGUACAAAGAGCUGCAAGACCGCGAGGUGGAGCUAAUCUCAUAAAACCGUUCUCAGUUCGGAUUGUAGGCUGCAACUCGCCUACAUGAAGCUGGAAUCGCUAGUAAUCGCGGAUCAGCAUGCCGCGGUGAAUACGUUCCCGGGCCUUGUACACACCGCCCGUCACACCACGAGAGUUUGUAACACCCGAAGUCGGUGGGGUAACCUUUUGGAGCCAGCCGCCUAAGGUGGGACAGAUGAUUGGGGUGAAGUCGAGGACGAAGGUAACCUAAUCUAGAUGCAUUCGCGGAGGUA